AGAACGAACGCUGGCGGCAGGCUUAACACAUGCAAGUCGAACGGUCUCUUCGGAGGCAGUGGCAGACGGGUGAGUAACGCGUGGGAAUCUACCUAGUUCUGCGGAACAACAGUUGGAAACGACUGCUAAUACCGCAUACGCCCUACGGGGGAAAGAUUUAUCGGAAUUAGAUGAGCCCGCGUAAGAUUAGCUAGUUGGUGGGUAAUGGCCUACCAAGGCGACGAUCUUUAGCUGGUCUGAGAGGAUGAUCAGCCACACUGGGACUGAGACACGGCCCAGACUCCUACGGGAGCAGCAGUGGGGAAUA
rnacentral:rRNA from 1 species